UACGUAGGUGGCAAGCGUUAUCCGGAAUUAUUGGGCGUAAAGCGCGCGCAGGUGGUUUCUUAAGUCUGAUGUGAAAGCCCACGGCUCAACCGUGGAGGGUCAUUGGAAACUGGGAGACUUGAGUGCAGAAGAGGAAAGUGGAAUUCCAUGUGUAGCGGUGAAAUGCGUAGAGAUAUGGAGGAACACCAGUGGCGAAGGCGGGAUCCUGGGCCAGUACUGACGCUGAGGAGCGAAAGCGUGGGGAGCAAACAGG
rnacentral:rRNA from 1 species